GGCUUAUUAAAUUUUUUUAAAUUUAAUUUAAUUUCAUAUUUUCAUACACUUUUAUUUUUAAAUUUUAGAUUAUAAUAGCUUUGAAACAAUGAUAAUGAAAGUUUUUCAUCGUUCUAAAUUUAUGUUACAGUUAUGGUCGUAAAAGAUUAAGACAAAUCUUAUGGGUGCAAUUAUUCCACUGGCACCUGCGAAAUUGCCAAAAGAACUGACCAUCGCUGUUUAUUGUAUUUUUUUAAAUGUUUUAGUUAAACAAUCUAACACUUUA
rnacentral:lncRNA from 1 species